UACGUAGGGGGCAAGCGUUGUCCGGAAUUAUUGGGCGUAAAGCGCGCGCAGGCGGUUUAUUAAGUCUGAUGUGAAAGCCCACGGCUCAACCGUGGAGGGCCAUUGGAAACUGGUAGGCUUGAGUGCAGGAGAGGAGAGCGGAAUUCCCGGUGUAGUGGUGAAAUGCGUAGAUAUCGGGAGGAACACCAGUGGCGAAGGCGGCUUCCUGGCCUGUUCUUGACGCUGAGGCGCGAAAGCUAGGGGAGCAAACGGG
rnacentral:rRNA from 1 species